rnacentral:rRNA from 1 species
UACGUAGGGACCGAGCGUUGUCCGGAAUCAUUGGGCGUAAAGAGCGUGUAGGCGGCCUUUUAAGUCCUGCGUGAAAUCCUGCGGCUCAACCGCAGACGGUCGUGGGAAACUGGAAGGCUAGAGUGCGGGAGAGGAGAGUGGAAUUCCCGGUGUAGCGGUGAAAUGCGCAGAUAUCGGGAAGAACACCCGUGGCGAAGGCGGCUCUCUGGGACGCAACUGACGCUGAGACGCGAAAGCGUGGGGAGCAAACAGG